UACGGAGGGGUCUAGCGUUGUUCGGAAUUACUGGGCGUAAAGCGCACGUAGGCGGCUUUGUAAGUUAGAGGUGAAAGCCCGGGGCUCAACUCCGGAAUUGCCUUUAAGACUGCAUCGCUAGAAUUGUGGAGAGGUAAGUGGAAUUCCGAGUGUAGAGGUGAAAUUCGUAGAUAUUCGGAAGAACACCAGUGGCGAAGGCGACUUACUGGACACAUAUUGACGCUGAGGUGCGAAAGCGUGGGGAGCAAACAGG
rnacentral:rRNA from 1 species